rfam:Nicotiana attenuata strain TT scaffold07248, whole genome shotgun sequence.
GGAUGCGAUCAUACCAGCACUAACGCACCGGAUCCCAUCAGAACUCCGAAGUUAAGCGUGUUUGGGCGAGAGUAGUACUAGGAUGGGUGACCCCCUCGGGAGGUACCUCGUGUUGUCAUCC